CAGCAGCCACGGGAAUACGUAGGUGGCAAGCGUUGUCCGGAAUUAUUGGGCGUAAAGGGCUCGCAGGCGGUUUCUUAAGUCUGAUGUGAAAGCCCCCGGCUCAACCGGGGAGGGUCAUUGGAAACUGGGAAACUUGAGUGCAGAAGAGGAGAGUGGAAUUCCACGUGUAGCGGUGAAAUGCGUAGAGAUGUGGAGGAACACCAGUGGCGAAGGCGACUCUCUGGUCUGUAACUGACGCUGAGGAGCGAAAGCGUGGGGAGCGAACAGGAUUAGAUACCCCUGUAGUCCCUGUCUCUUAUAU
rnacentral:rRNA from 1 species